rnacentral:rRNA from 1 species
GACGAACGCUGGCGGCGUGCUUAACACAUGCAAGUCGAACGGAAAGGCCCUGCUUUUGUGGGGUGCUCGAGUGGCGAACGGGUGAGUAACACGUGAGUAACCUGCCCUUGACUUUGGGAUAACUUCAGGAAACUGGGGCUAAUAUCGGAUAGGAGCUCCUGCUGCAUGGUGGUGGUUGGAAAGAUUCGGCGGUUGGGUAUGGACUCGCGGCUUAUCAGCUUGUUGGUGAGGUAGUGGCUUACCAAGGCUUUGACGGGUAGCCGGCCUGAGAGGGUGACCGGCGACAUUGGGACUGAGAGAGGGCCCAGACUCCUACGGGAGGCAGCAGUGGGGAAUAUUGCGCAAUGGGCGGAAGUCUGAUGCAGCAACGCCGCGUGCGGGAUGACGGCCUUCGGGUUGUAAACCGCUUUCGCCUGUGCCGAAGCGUGAGUGACGGUAAUGGGUAAAGAAGCACCGGCUAACUACGUG